rnacentral:rRNA from 1 species
CCUACGGGAGGCAGCAGUGAGGAAUAUUGGUCAAUGGGCGCGAGCCUGAUCCAGCCAAGUAGCGUGAAGGAUGACUGCCCUACGGGUUGUAAACUUCUUUUAUAAAGGAGUAAAGUUAGGCACGUGUGCCUUUUUGUAUGUACUUUAUGAAUAAGGAUCUGCUGACUCCGUGCCAGCAGCCGCGGUAAUACGGAGGAUCCGAGCGUUAUCCGGAUUUAUGGGGUGUAAAGGGAGCGUAGAUGGAUUGUUAAGUCAGUUGUGAAAGUUUGCGGCUCAACCGUAAAAUUGCAAUUGAUACUGGCAGCCUUGAGUGCAGUUGAGGUAGGCGGAAUUCGUGGUGUAGCGGUGAAAUGCUUAGAUAUCACGAAGAACUCCGAUUGCGAAGGCAGCCUACUAAACUGCAACUGACAUUGAUGCUCGAAAGUGUGGGUAUCAAACAGGAUUAGAUACCCGUGUAGUC